ensembl:lncRNA
GUUGAGCCUGAGAGGACUCGGUGGGGAUGAAAAUAGUGCAAAUCUCACAGAACAAAGAAGAGGGUGGUGAUGUGUGGUCAGGCCAUUUAGAUGGCUCUUCUCUUGCUCUCUGUGCAUACCCUGCUCAGCCAGGCCCUGCUUUACUCACCGGACUCUCCAUUCUUCUUAAUUGCAAUCUGGAAGAAGCCAAGACCUUCAAGAUGGGAAACAAUGUAACCAAACUACAGUACUCUGAAAUGGUGAUGAGCUCCAGUGCCUGGACCUGAAUCCCAGCUCUGCUGCUUCUUAGGUUUUUUCUUAUUGUUCAGUUGCUAAGUCAUGUCUGACUCGGUGAUCCCAUGGACUGUAUCCUGCCAGGCUUCUCUGUCCAUGGAAUCCUCCAGUCCUUCAGGUUGACAGGACCGCAGCCCAGGCCACAGUCUAUGUGAUGCCCCUGUAUCCUUGUCACACUCGGCACUGGUGCCACCUUUACACACUAAACGGAAGGACUGAUGCUGAGGCUGAAGCUGCAGUACCUUGGCCACCUGAUGAGAAGAACUGACUCAUUGGAAAAGACUCUGAUGCUGGGAAAGAUUGGAAGGCGGGAGGAGAAGGGGAUGACAGAGGAUGAGAUGGUUGGAUGGCAUCACCGACUCGAUGGACAUGAGUUUGGGUAAACUCCAGGAGUUGGUGAUGGACAGGCAUGCUGCAGUCCAUGGGGUUACAAAGAGUGGGACACGACUGAGCGACUGAACUGAACUUACACACUAUAAGGACACACCGGUCAAAAACAUUGCACUUACAGAUUCCUAUUUGACAUUUACUCUUUAUAAUUUGAGAGCACAAAUUGUUUCUAUAUUGAAAAAACUAAUUCAGUCUUUAUGUAAUAGCUAGUGUUUUCAAUCAUGGAAGGAAAAAUAUGAUAAAAAUAAAGAACAUGAAAUAAAAAGAAAACCAACAUAGUUUGAACGCUUCUCCUGUUGGACAUGUUAAUUUUUCAAGAGGCAAAAACAAACAGCAUGAGCCCUUCCACACUUCAAUUUCCACAUUUGUGAAAUGAAGUAAGAACACUUAACUCCUAGAGUUAUAGUAAAGAUAUGAUGGCUAUAUGUGUGUGUGUGUGUGUAUGUAUAAAUGCUCAAUUGUGUAUAAAUCAUGUGCAUAGUCCCUGCUAUAUAUGAGACAUUCACAUAUGGCACCUAUUGUGAUGACUAUUAUGACUUUAAAUAAUCUUAAUUAUCUAGGAACUAGCCAUCUGAAUUUUCAAAUAUGAAAAAGGGCAAGGAUGUAAUUAAAAAAAAAACAACAACAAUGACAGAUGCUAGGAGUUCUCAUCUACCACAAACUGUUGAAAAGAUAAAAAAGCCAGAAUUAGAGUAUUAUGCUCAAUGAAUGCAUUGGGCUUGCCCAUUGUAACCUGUGGUUGGACAGUUAGUUAGAUAACUGUGUCAACAGUCAACUUGUAUCACAGAAAGCCACAAAGCAUGGGAAACAAAAAGGCAGAAUAAAUAAAAAUAUGGAAAAGAUCAACAAAUAGCAGAAUUUGUCAUCAUAGGAAAAUGUCAAUGACUUAUUGAUGUUUUUAAUAAACAUUUUUUUUAUAACAUUGAAUGGUUUCCAGUUUUCAGGCAUUACCAGAAAUAUCUACUGUGAAUACACAGAGUAAGCUCCCUGGUGCAUAAUGUUGAGGCUUUCUAAUGAAUGUAUAUGUGUGAAUAUGCUGUUUCCUAGGAUAUACAUAGUUUCAACUUUUAAAAAUAUGCAUCAAUUUUAUAUAUUUAGAGUUCCUUUUGAUACAUGUCCUCCAUAACAAUUGGCAUUGUCCUAAUUUAAAAUUUGUGUGAUGUAGCAUGUGUAAAAUAAAAUCUCAUUGUGAUUUUAAUUUGCUUUUCCCUAAUACUGAUGCAGUCCAAUGCUUUCUGGAAGUUUAUGGGUCCCUCAUGUUUGCCAUUCUGUGAAAUCCUUGUUUAUAUCAUCUGUCUUUUUUUCUAUAAAUAAAUGAAUAUUUGUGUCUGGAUUCACAGAAAUCACUUAAGCAUUCUGUGUAUUAAUUCUUUUCUCCUAUUUGUGUGACAUGUCUCUCAUGUUGUGGCUUAGGUUUUCAAUUUGUGGGGAUGUUUGAUGAACAGAAGUCCUUGAUUUUAAUGUAAUCCCAUUUAUUUAUCUUUUAUGUUUUGCACUUGUGUCCAGCUCAAGAAAUAUGUUCACAUCUUAAGGCGGUUAAAGCAUCUUCUUUAAUUUCAAAUGAUUUUCAAGUUUUGCUCCUUAACAUUUAAGUCUCAAUCUAUCUGGAAGUAACUUUUGUAUAUAGUGAGAAGUAGGGAUCCAGUCUCAUUUUAUCAGUAUUUUCCAAUACAGGGAAUUAAUUUUCCUUGCAAAAUUUACUAACUAGUUCACCCUUUUCUUAGUGAUGUGUUAGUCACUCAGUCAUGUCUGACUCUUUGCCAGCCCAUAGACUAUAAUCCGCCAGGCUCCAUCCAUGGAGCUCUCCAGGCAAAAAUACUGGAUUGGGUGGCCAUUCCCUUCUCCAGGGGAUCUUCCUGACCCAGGGAUUGAACGUGAGACUCCUGCACUGCAAGCAUUGCAGGCAGAUUCUUUACUAUCUGAGCCACCAAAGAAGCCCUUUUAGUGAUAUACAGGAACAAAAUAAGUAUAUACAUAUGUCUAUACAUAUGUGUGAAUCAUUUCCUAUGAUUUUUGAUGUUUCUAUUGGAUUCCCCCAACCCCCCACCGAUCUCUGCACUAAGGUUCCACACUCCUAAUUUACGUGGCCCUGGAGAAGGAAAUGGCAACCCACUCCAGUGUUCUUGCCUGGAGAAUCCCAGGGAAGGUGGAGCCUGAUGGGCUGUCGUCUUUGGGGUCGCACAGAGUCAGACACGACUGAAGCGACUUAGCAGCAGCAGCAGCAAGAACAUCUUGGUGUCUGUUAGCAAAGUCACUCCCUUACCUUAUUCUAUGUCUGUAGUGCCUUGAAUACUGUCAAUUAUUUGCUCUUUUUAAAUAUGCUUUGAAAUAAACUUGUCAAGUUCAUGAAUAACUCUGUUGUGAUUUUCAUAGGAAUUGCAUUGGAUUAAUAGAUGACUAUAUGAAAACUUCAUCCUUGUGUUAGUCUUUGAAUCCCAAAACAUAAUAUCUCUAUUUUCAGUUUCUUAAAUGUUACCAAUAAACUUGAUUUUUUCAUAGCAGUAAUGCAUUUUUUAAAUGUGUUCCCAAGUACUCUACAAUAUGGAUACCAUCUUUUAGUUAUAUUUUUUAAUUUGUUUAUUUCAUUCUCUAACUGGUAUAGAGAAGUGCAAUUGAUUUUUGCUUAUUG